AGUGAACGCUGGCGGUAGGCCUAACACAUGCAAGUCGAACGGCAGCACAGAGGAGCUUGCUCCUUGGGUGGCGAGUGGCGGACGGGUGAGGAAUACAUCGGAAUCUACUCUGUCGUGGGGGAUAACGUAGGGAAACUUACGCUAAUACCGCAUACGACCUACGGGUGAAAGCAGGGGACCUUCGGGCCUUGCGCGAUUGAAUGAGCCGAUGUCGGAUUAGCUAGUUGGCGGGGUAAAGGCCCACCAAGGCGAUGAUCAGUAGCUGGUCUGAGAGGAUGAUCAGCCACACUGGAAUUGAGACACGGGCCAGACUCCUACGGGAGGCAGAAGUGGGGAAUAUUGGACAAUGGGCGCAAGCCUGAUCCAGCCAAACCGCGUGGGUGAAGAAGGCCUUCGGGUUGUAAAGCCCUUUUGUUGGGAAAGAAAUCCAGCUGGCUAAUACCCGGUUGGGAUGACGGUACCCAAAGAAUAAGCACCGGCUAACUUCGUGCCAGCCGCCGCAGUAA
rnacentral:rRNA from 1 species